rnacentral:rRNA from 1 species
GUCUACCGCCAUGGCACCCUGAACAAGACCGAUCUCAUCUGAUCUCAGAAGCUAAGCAGGGUCGGGCCUGGUUAGUACUUGGAUUGGAGACCACCUACGAAGACCAGGUGCUGUAGGUG